CAGUCGCCGCGGUAAUACGUAGGGUGCAAGCGUUAAUCGGAAUUACUGGGCGUAAAGCGUGCGCAGGCGGUCCGCUAAGACAGAUGUGAAAUCCCCGGGCUUAACCUGGGAACUGCAUUUGUGACUGGCGGGCUAGAGUAUGGCAGAGGGGGGUAGAAUUCCACGUGUAGCAGUGAAAUGCGUAGAGAUGUGGAGGAAUACCGAUGGCGAAGGCAGCCCCCUGGGCCAAUACUGACGCUCAUGCACGAAAGCGUGGGGAGCAAACAGGAUUAGAUACCCCUGUAGUCCCUGUCUCUUAUAC
rnacentral:rRNA from 1 species